GUUUAUUUGAUAGUACCUUACUACUUGGAUAACCGUGGUAAUUCUAGAGCUAAUACAUGCUAAAAAUCCCGACUCACGGAGGGAUGUAUUUAUUAGAUUAAAAACCAAUGCCCCUCGGGGCUUACUGGUGAUUCAUAAUAACUUCUCGAAUCGCAUGGCCUUGCGCCGGCGAUGGUUCAUUCAAAUUUCUGCCCUAUCAACUUUCGAUGGCAGGGUCUUGGCCUGCCAUGGUUACAACGGGUAACGGAGGGUUAGGGCUCGACCCCGGAGAAGGAGCCUGAGAAACGGCUACUACAUCCAAGGAAGGCAGCAGGCGCGCAAAUUACCCAAUCCCGACACGGGGAGGUAGUGACAAUAAAUACUGAUACAGGGCUCUUUUGGGUCUUGUAAUUGGAAUGAGUACAAUUUAAAUCCCUUAACGAGGAACAAUUGGAGGGCAAGUCUGGUGCCAGCAGCCGCGGUAAUUCCAGCUCCAAUAGCGUAUAUUAAAGUUGUUGCAGUUAAAAAGCUCGUAGUUGAACCUUGGGCCUGGCUGGCCGGUCCGCCUCACCGCGUGCACUGGUUCGGCCGGGCCUUUCCCUCUGGGGAGCCCUAUGCCCUUCACUGGGUGUAGUGGGGAACCAGGACUUUUACUGUGAAAAAAUUAGAGUGUUCAAAGCAGGCCUAUGCUCGAAUACAUCAGCAUGGAAUAAUAGAAUAGGACGUGUGGUUCUAUUUUGUUGGUUUCUAGGACCGCCGUAAUGAUUAAUAGGGACAGUCGGGGGCAUCAGUAUUCAAUUGUCAGAGGUGAAAUUCUUGGAUUUAUUGAAGACUAACUACUGCGAAAGCAUUUGCCAAGGAUGUUUUCAUUAAUCAGGAACGAAAGUUAGGGGAUCGAAGACGAUCAGAUACCGUCGUAGUCUUAACCAUAAACUAUGCCGACUAGGGAUCGGACGA
rnacentral:rRNA from 1 species